ensembl:lincRNA 3110099E03Rik RIKEN cDNA 3110099E03 gene
UACAAUAAGGAAAUGCCUUAGCUGUAGACAUCAUUUAUGGAACCGUAUAAAUAGAGCUCACAUUCAAAGGGUUUGCAAGAGAAGAAUUGUACGAUACAUUUACACAUGCAAGUACAGCAAGUACCUCUAACUGUUUCUAUGACAGAUUUUCAGCUUGUGCUCCUGUCUCUAUGCUACCUGCCAGAGGACACUGGGAAAAGGGUCAGCAACUGGGAGAAGGACAGAUGAAAACACUGCCUAUGCAGAGGUGCAGAUGAUAACUCACAUGCCAGGCUCACCCCUGGACUGCCUCAGCAAGGGAAGCGAGAAGACAUGUAACAGUGAAUGAAGAAAAGGAACUCUGGAUGAGAUAGGAGGCUUGGCAUAUCGCUCAGUGGUAGACCACAUCUACCACACAUGAAGUCGUGGGUUCAAUCCCUAGAACCGAAAGAAACAAUAAACGCAGAAGCCAAAAAAGACAGGGGACUGGAGUGACACUUUUGGAUUUUUGGUUUCAUUACAGAACACA